rnacentral:rRNA from 1 species
UACCCUGAGAGCGGCGCACGGGUGAGUAACGCGUAUGCAACCUACCUUUUACAGGGGAAUAGCCCAGAGAAAUUUGGAUUAAUACCCCAUGGCACUAUAGGAUCGCAUGGUUUUAUAGUUAAAGAUUUAUCGGUAAGAGAUGGGCAUGCGUGACAUUAGUUUGUUGGCGGGGUAACGGCUCACCAAGACUACGAUGUCUAGGGGUUCUGAGAGGAUGAUCCCCCACACUGGUACUGAGACACGGACCAGACUCCUACGGGAGGCAGCAGUGAGGAAUAUUGGUCAAUGGGCGCAAGCCUGAACCAGCCAUCCCGCGUGAAGGAUGAAUGUACUAUGUAUUGUAAACUUCUUUUCUGCACCAAGAAAAGGCCGUACGUGUACGGUUUUGCCGGUAGUGCAGGAAUAAGCAUCGGCUAACUCCGUGCCAGCAGCCGCGGUAAUACGGAGGAUGCGAGCGUUAUCCGGAUUCAUUGGGUUUAAAGGGUGCGUAGGCGGCUUGUUAAGUCAGUGGUGAAAUCCUGCGGCUCAACCGUAGAACUGCCAUUGAUACUGACAGGCUUGAAUUUAGUUGAGGUAGGCGGAAUGUGUAGUGUAGCGGUGAAAUGCUUAUAUAUUACACAGAACACCGAUUGCGAAGGCAGCUUACCAAGCUACGAUUGACGCUGAGGCACGAAAGCGUGGGGAUCGAACAGGAUUAGAUACCCUGGUAGUCCACGCCGUAAACGAUGUUCACUCGCUGUUUGCGAUAUACAGUAAGCGGCCAAGCGAAAGCAUUAAGUGAACCACCUGGGGAGUACGUCGGCAACGGUGAAACUCAAAGGAAUUGACGGGGGCCCGCACAAGCGGAGGAACAUGUGGUUUAAUUCGAUGAUACGCGAGGAACCUUACCUGGGCUU